CUUGUCUGUAAGGCAUCUAUAGUUGAAUUCAAUAGAGAAGUUAGAAGAUAGAAAAAAAUAACAGUUAAAGGUUAAACUGAUAUUCAGAUUCUAAGUAAAGUGGAAGUUCUGGAAAGGAAGCAUCUCAGGGCUAAAACCUUGGGAGAAAGCUUCAUGAAAGAGAUGAGAAUUGAUCGAGGACACCCUAGGUAGGGCAAGUAGCAGAAGACCCCUUGGGGGGCAUACGGAGUGGAGAAGGGAUGGGGCAUAUGAUCCUUAGCCACUGGCUGCUUCUGUAAGUCACCACUGAACCUCAUUCAGUUUGGUUCCUUUUAAAAGGUUCUCAGGAUUGACCAUCCUAGUGUAACCUAGUAGCUGGAAGUAUCCUUUCCCUUAAAAUUUUGGCUCAAAGUGUCAGUUUACGACUUGUAGAAAGAAAGUCUGAUUCCUUCACUCAGAUUUCUUCAAAUUCCUGGAAGAGCAUGUAUUUAUGGUCACUCUAAUUGUGAGCUCUUGCUUCCACUGUAUUAGUUCAGGUUAUAGAUGAUCUUACUGUCUCAAGCAUGCUGUCCCUGUUUCCAUCCACAUUGGCCCAGAUGUAGAACUCAGAUAUCUCCCAGCUAAAGCUUUUAUGUAUGCAGCAGACUUUAUUAAAGGUUUGGUAUAAUGGAGAGUAUUGUACAUUGCAGCAAAGCAAGCAACUUGAAUUCUAAUACUGGCUAUCCCUGUGCCUUAAAGUACUUUUGCCCACCUCUCCAUUAGGGAUUUGUCACUAUUCAUAUCACCCAUGAAUAUGGCCUUGGUCUCUUAUUAUCUUAUCUUUCUUUCCUCUGCAAACCUUCCUGACUCUGUAGCCACUAAGUACUCCAGAUACUUCUUACUCUAUUAUGCAAAGCCAGUGAACUCUAACUCUCCCUCCCAAAUUUACCUCUGUAUGUCCAAAGCCCACCAAAGGGCUCGGCUGUGUAAAAAGCUCAUCCACUUCUUUAACAACACAAAGAAUUUGUAGAAGCUCUGAUGUGUUUCUUUACAUGACCUUCCCUCUUUUGAAAGCAUCUCUUGUUUUAACUAGCAUUUACUUCUCUUACCCCAGGAGUGGUUUACUUUGAAGCAUCUGUGAAGGGAAGGUAAGAGGAUAUUCCAGGCGAGGGCAACAAUGUGAAUAUAGGCAGCAACCUACAUAAAACCUAUUGUGGGCAAUGAGAAAACUAGUCCAACUGGAAAGAAGAAGAAUGCUUGGGGAGCAGAGCUCAGAAUAGAUUAGAAAGUCCAGAAACAGAGCUAAGUUUCAAUGGGAAAGGAUAUUGUUUAGGACAAAUGUUUAGCCAUUAAAAAAAAAAAUCUCUGUCACCUUCUACCAAAAUAAAUUUUAGAUGGAUUAAAGAUUUCUACAUAAAAGCUAAAGUAAUAAAUGCACUAGAAAAUAGAUUUUUUCAGUAUGACACCAAAGGCAGAAACUAUAAAGGAAAAAGUGUGGUGAAUUAGCUAUAAAAAAAAAAUCACAACAGUCUGCAUAAAUAAAAGAUAGAUGACAAACAGGUUAAAGAGGAUUUUCAGCGUAUCUCUAAUGUGCACAAGGCUCUUACAAAUCUCUAGGAAAAAAAGCAAAAACAUCAAGAGAAAAUGGGCCAAAGUCAUAGAAGAAUAAAUAUAAAUGACUAAUAAAGCAUAUAGAAAAAGGCUGUUUCACUUACAAUCCAGAAAACACAAAGAGAAAUGAGAUAUCAUUUUUCAAUUGUUAGAUUGACAAAUAUUAAAAAGAAGAAAAUAUUUAUUGCUGAUGAGGGCUUGAGGAAACAGGAAUUCAUACUCUGUUGCUGGGAAUAUAAAUAUGAUCUCUCUGACAUUCGGUUUGACAAAAUGUAGCAAAUUUAAAGUGCUUACACUCUUAAACUAGCAAUUCAACUUCUAGGUAUUUAUCCCAAGGGCAAGUGUGCAGAGAUAUAUGUAUGAGGAUAUUUAUUACUACAGAGCUUAUAAAACAAUCACCAUGGCCAUCAGUAGGAGAUUGGUCAAAUAUGGUGUGUCCAUACAAUGAUAAAUAAAGUAGAUUCAUAACUAUUGACACAGAAAGAUGGCCACAAUAUAUACAUGAAGAAAUGUGUAGCAUAUGAACCUGUUUCAGUUGAAAUAAAUAAAUAUAGCCAUAACUAUGUGUAAAUAUUAAAAAACCAUAUAACAAAUUGUUAAUAGAAAUUACCUUUUAUGAUUCAGAAAAAAAAAGCCACUUAAAAACAUAGGAAAUGGAAGGGCUGGCCCAGCGGUGCAGUGGUUAAGUUUGCACGUUCCGCUUUGGUGGCCCACGGUUUGCUGGUUUGGAUCCCGGGUGCAGACAUGGCCCCACUUGGCAAGCCAUGCUGUGGCAGGCGUCCCACAUAUAAGGUGGAGGAAGAUGGGCACAGAUGUUAGCUCAGGGCCAGUCUUCCUCUGCAAAAAGAGGAGAAUUGGCAGCAGAUGUUAGCUCAGGGCUAAUCUUCCUCAAAAAAAAAAAAAGGGAAAUGGAUUCCGACUUGAGGGUGGUGGGGGCUGACAGUUAUUUUACCCUGGUGGACUAGGUAGUGAAUAGUGUUGAUAAAAGCAGUGAUCAGGGAAGGUUUUAUGGUGUGAAUGUGUGAAAUGAAUGAAGUGAAAAAUGAGGUUAGAGAAACCAGUUAGGAUAAUAAAGCAUCAACUGGGGUAGGUAGCAGGAUUAGAACGGAAAGGACCAAUCUGAGAGACAUUUCAUGGAAGAAACCACUGAUCUGAUAGUCUGUCAGUCAGGAAGAGGAUAAAGAAUCAAAAAUAAAAGGGCCUGUCUAGUGGCGCAGCAGUUAAGUGCGCAUGAUCCGCUUCCCAGUGGUUCACCGGUUUGGAUCCCGGGUGCGGACAUGGCGGACAAGCCAUGCUGUGGCAGGCAUCCCACAUAUAAAGUAGAGGAAGAUGGGCACGGAUGUUAGCUCAGGGCCAGUCUUCCUCAGCAAAAAGAGGAGGAUUGACAGCAGAUGUUAGCUCAGGGCUAAUCUUCCUUAAAAAAAAAAAAGAAGAAAGAAGAACAAGUCACUGAUAAUGCCAAGGUGUCUAUUUACUCUGUGCAGCUUGAAAAUUACUCAUCAUGACUGGAAAGGAGAACCAGUCUUCUAGAAGGGUGAGACAAAUUUGUUUUGUGGAGUUGAAUUUGAAGGGCCAGAGGUGCAUCCAAAACGAAAUGUUCUGUAGGCUGGGGAUUCAUUUAGAGGAAAAGGUACUUCUAGAAUAGACUCAGUCACCGGAGUCACUCUCUAGAUUUUACCCCCUCGACAUGUGCUUGGGGGAGGGGUGGUCAUAUUUUGGUUCUUUUUCCUGUUGGCAGUCUUUUUUUUUUUUUUUUAAGAUUGGCACCUGAGCUAACAUCUGUGCCAAUCUUUUCUUCUUCUUCUUCUCCUUCUCCUCCUCCCUUCUUCUCCCUUCUCCUUCCCCUCCUCCCCCUCCUCCUUCCCCUCCUCCUCCCCCUGCUGCUCCUCCCCCCCCAAAGCCCCCCAGUACAUAGUUGUAUAUUCUAGGUGUAGGUCCUACUGGUUGUGCUUUGUUGGCAGUCUUGACAGACCCUGGAGAGGAGCGUGUGGCAGUGGUCUCAGCUGGAACCUGAGAGUAGAGCUUGAGGAGGGGUAGGAGUAGGCAGUAGUCACCAGAGUAAAACAACAGCCACAACAUUAUUUAAAAAUCACUCUACGGGGUUCGCCCGGUGGCGCAGCAGUUAAGUGCGCACAUUCCGCUUCAGCAGCCCAGGGUUCGCUGGUUCAGAUCCCGGGUGCAGACAUGGCACCGCGUGGCAAGCCAUGCUGUGGUAGGCGUCCCACAUAUACAGUUGAGGAAGAUGGGCAUGGAUGUUAGCUCAGGGCCAGUCUUCCUCAGCAAAAAGAGGAGGACUGGCAGCAGAUGUUAGCUCAGGGCUAAUCUUCCCUGAAAAAAAAAAUCACUCUAUCAUGUACAAAGGCCAUUAUAUACAGUGACUUACCUAACACAAUCCUAUAUGCUUUGCAUUAUUAUUUUUUUCCUUUUGGGUGAAGUUCAAUUUCUCGUUUUACUGAAUCUCAAUUAGAGGGUUAGAAUUAGGACGCAAACUAAGGUAUUCAGGUCUCAAAUUUCAUUUCUCAUUUCUCCACUCUCUGUCUCUUGGAGAUGAAUUUUCCACAGAGAGAGAGACUAGAGCAAAAGCUGCAACCUGGAGCUCGGGGUACCCACAAUUAAGAGGUGGGAGGAGGAGGGCCAGAGAAGACACUAAGUCACUCACAGUCACUGCCCUGUCCCCUGGCCUUUGUAGGCCCUGACAGUCCUCUAAACCAGAGAAUGUUGGAUGUUCCUUUGAAACAUCCAAGUUGGGAGGAAGUCCCAUAAAUCCCUGGAGGUGUUUUGGAAGUAGGGUUCACCAGUUUGGUUACAGCAGAGUUAGUGUGGUGGCUUAGUGGUUUAUUGAAUUCUGGCUUCAUUCUGUUGAAGGCAACACAGUAAAAGCAUAUUGACUUACGCCCAUGAGGGAAGGGCUUGUCUGUAUUAAUUACAUGAAAAAAUUUUUUGUGUGUGAAAUUGUUAGGCUUGUCUGGAUUACUCACAUGAAAACAUAUUUUUUGUGAAGUCAUUAGGUUUGUGUAGUUCUGGAGUCACGUGGUAACUCACUUGUGUAGGCACCAGGUGGUAGAGAUCGUAAGAGGAUCUACUUUAAUGAGCAGAAAUCAAGUCUUUUAAGUCACUUCAGUUUUCCAACUGACAGUCAUGUUCACGGAAUUAAAUUAUAUAGCUAACCCGUUCUGAUAGCAUAAACACAAAAAGCAGUUAUCUCCUAAACAAACACGCGGACUUCUGUGGGUACUAUUAGUGGUUACCACGGGGAACGGAGGUGGGGGUGGGCACAAAGGGCGAAGGGGCACACCUGUGUGGUGACUGACAAAUAAUGUACAACUGUAAUUUCACGAUGCUGCAAACUAUAAUGACCUCAACUAAAAAAAAUAAAAAUUAAAAAAACCACAGUUAUAUCCUGUCAGAAGUUCUGAAUCAACAGGGUCCGCUUUAAAGAGGUUUUCCUGCAACUAUUGGGCUGGUGUCCACAGAGAAUCCCACAGGCAUCCCUGCAGCCUGGUGCUGGGAGCAUAGUGGGCAGUCGAGAAACAGUGGUUGAAUGAAUGAGUGGGCGAGCGAGUGAAGGACAGAAGGAAUCUCUCCCUGAGGCGUCUUGAGCUAUCUUCCCACAGCCUCCUGCUGCAGCUUGGCUGGGUGGUUUUAGGACAAGCCUUAUCAUUUGGGAUUUUGUAAUGGGGAGGGUGGAAAUGGAGGCACCAUGGGAAGUUGCUGUUCUGUGAGUUGGUGACUCCACAGAAGGGAUGUAUCCAAAACCAGUAAGCUGGUGCCACUUGAGUCCAGGUCAUAUGAGCUUUCCUCCUAAAAAGAUCAGGCUGCUGAGAAGGUCUCUGGAGCAAGUGAUGAGGCCCACGGAGUUAGGAGAUUUCCUGUUGGCAACCUUGGUGUUACCCAAAGAGGGCAGCUACUUUCUAAGUCCUCUGAAGGAGGCUCUCCGCCACCCUUCCUUCUCACUGCUUGGAUUCUAAGUAGGGCCCUCGCUGGCUUCUGCUUAUCCUGCCUGGCCCUGCCCUCUGACUGUGAGCCAUUGGCGAUUUUUAGCCCUCCUGGAAAUUGCACCCUUUAUGAGGGUAAAGCAAACUGUGAAGUUCUGGUUCUGGCUCCAGAGGGAUUGGGGCCAGUCACCUGGCCCUGCCCUGUGUUUCUUGGCAUGCAUUCCUGGCCACCUUUUUACCCUUAGCACAGUCCUCCAAGCCUGUAAUUCUGCCUGGGUAAGGAUUAAGUACUGGCUUCUUCAGAGGGACUGUCAGGGCAAGAAUAUCAUGUUUUGGAAGACGCUCCUGACACCAAUCUCCAUGUCUUGCCUUAGGAGAAUUAUUGGUCUUAUAUAGAUGAUCUAACAGUUAUAUUGGGAGUGGUUGGGGGACUUGGAGAUUCUUCAUAUCACAAAAGGACUUACUGCUAGGUUUCUUUAAGCAUUGAACCUGCUUUUCAAAAUAAAAUUUGAUUUCACGCUGUAAGUAAUGUACAAUUAUUUGCAACAGAAAAAAACUUUUGAGAUUUUCUAGGCAAACUUCCUUGUUUCACAAGUCAGCAAACUUCAGGAGGUCCAGCAAGGGCAAAGCCGUGCCUGUGCUGGGGAGCUGACGCUCAGGUUAUGUGAAAGGAAUUGAAGCAGAGAGGAGCAGACACUGUGUGAGAGGAAGUCUCAGUUGCUCCUGGAGGAGCAUUUUUCUGGUUGUUUUCCAAGUGAGGGAGGGGAAGAACGCAUUUCUUCCCCAGGAAUGCCCUGCUCAUAUCCCUCGGAUUGGGUAAUUCCUGCCUCACUGACUUUUAAUGUAGUCCUUCCAGACUGAACCCAAAACAACAUGGUAAUACCUCAGUAUUUGAGACUUAGAGGCACGUUUAAAUAAGUAAAACUCUAAAUUACAGGAUGUGAAUGCAACUUUAAAUUCAAUGUGUAAAAAAAGCCAAAUAUUAAGUUAGCAAAAUGUUAGUGGAAGUUCUUCAGGGGGCCUUAUUGAAUUAGUUGAUUAGAUUGAUUUUUAAUUAGAAUUAUCCAAUCUAUAAUAGGUAUUUAUAAAAUCCAUUCAUUCAUUUAUCAAAUAUUUAUUAACUACAGAGAGUUCUAUAGUAACUUGAGAUAUAGACUAAAACUGUGGGAACUCAGGAGAGGUGGUUUGUAGCUUUUGGACCUAGAGAAUCAGGGAAGUUUUGUGAAAACAAGUUUCUUUGUUUUAAAGAAUGCUUUAAACAGUCUUGCUGGGGCUGGCCCCAUGGCCUAGUGAUUCAGUUCUGCAUGCUUUGCUUUGGUGGCCCAGGUUUGGUUCCUGGGCACAGACCCACACCAUUCAUCAACGGCCAUGCUGUGGUGGUGACUCACAUACAAAAUAGAGGAAGACUGGCACAGAUGUUAGCUCAGGGCGAAUCUUCCUCAGCAAAAAAAAAAAAAAAACCUUAAACAGUUUUGCAUAUACUCUAGUCAAAGGUAGUGUUGAUACAAAGGAAAAUCUGUUCUCAUCCACAUUAUUAAAACUGAAUUAGUAUCAACACAAUACAUUUCCUUUCACUGUGCUUCUUUACUGAUCUCUAAAGCAGUUUCCAAAGAGCAGACCUUUGGUAACCAGGAGCAGUCCACUCUGUUUGCUAGACAGUACCUCUGCAGCUAGGGAAUGGGGGCAAGGUUGUGGACACAGUCAGGGAGACCACUUCUUCAAGGAGCUUGUCUGUAAAGUGAGGAGAGUUAGUGAAGGGAGGGGACCCAGCAUCUAAGGUGAGUUCUUUAUUUUUUGAGACCCAAGCAUGUCCCUGCGCUGUGGGGAAAGGGCUAGUAGAGAGGGAAAAGUUGAAGAUAGAAAAGAGAAAGAAAAAUUGUUGAGCAAGGCCCCUGGGGAGAAGGGGCUACUGCAUCCUGAGCACAGGUGGAGAGUUUGAACUUGAACUGAACAAAUGACAAGGCUACCACUGAGGUUAGCUUCACCACCACGACUACCACCCUUUAUUGUUUUCCUACCUUUUGUUAGCACUCGUUUGAGCUCUUUUAAGUUUCAUUUGCUAGGGAUGAGAGAUGUUAUGGGGCAGAGGAAUUUGGUAAGAUUUUGGGGAGACAGAAUGUUGGAGUUUCCUCCUGUUGGGCUUUGUUUUCUCUGGGCAGAAGAAGUUGAAGUCAUCUGCUGGGAGCAGGGGACAUAGUGGGUAUGGUGGCAUGGUUUUUAAAAGCUGUUGUGCCAAUGGCAGUGAUCUGAGGACGUGGAGGAGGACAGUUGAGCUGUGCUUAAGACCCAGAUAAUGUUGGAGAUGCUGACUUUCUAGAGGAGCAGCCCUCAUGACUUAAUGGUUGCUUUAGAAGUGCUCAGCAACUUGGGGGUUAAGGCAGAGGACUUUUGUACUCAAAUAGGAGCUCUGGUUUGUGGGGCAAAUGGAAGACUUGGAGUAAAGGGGGCCUAGGAUAUGGUAGCAGAGUAGUUGUCAUCUAGUUGGCUAGAGAAAGAGGCAUGAUAGGCAGCAAAAUGAUGGGGGCUGGGGUGUGAAGAGACUGGAAAUCUCAGUGUAGUUGAAAUACAGAAGCCGAAAAGUAAAGACAAGAAGAGGUAGAAAUUUAGGAGUUCAUGACGAGGCAAAGGGUCUGACUUGGAGUAGAAAAGCAGACUCUGAUCGAGGACCAAAGUCCUUGAUGACCACGAGGUUAGUAGCUGACGGCAGUGAGGAGGAGUGUAGCCAUGGCCUCGUCAAAGGAAGGGUUUUUGUAAGGUUGUGGGAAUAAUAGCUUGAAGCACCAUCAAGACAGUUCGUCUGUUUCUCCUCUUGGUACCGCUGGGUACUGAAGAAUGAUUUUUUGGCAGAAUCUUCAUGGCCCAGAAACCCAGUUCCUCAAGGAGUGUCAGGUUUCAGCUGGGGGAAAGAGGCCAGAACCAUCUUUUAGGCCUGCUUUCUGCACUGCCUGCCUAAAUACAGUGGAGUUUUAAUAGUUGGGGGACGGGAGAAGUUCUGGCCAAGUGAGACAUCCCCACAAAGUACGGGGCCUUUAAGCAGAUUUUGUGGGAACCGGGACUAAGUAUUCUUGCAGGCAAAAUCCCAUUUGGCCACAGGGUUUUUUGAACUGUUCAGGAUCAGAUUGGGCCAGUGCUAAUCUUCUGUGAGAGGCUCAAGGGAAGUGUUGUAAAGGUCUUGCUUAAAACUCUAGGAGGCAAUGGACUCUUGAGCCUUUCUGUUCCUGUGGGGUCUGGAAUUUAUUUUUCCUUCCAUGGUGACAGUAAAUAAUGCCCUAAAAAGCCCACAUAGUUUGAAAGAAUCUGGAAGUACUCAGAUUAUUGUUUAUAAAGAUGUUUUUGGAUUUUCAGUGGUUCAGGUUUCCUUUGACAUUGUUAAUACAUGAUUCUAAGCAAAAAUUAAGAAAGAAGCCCUGAGGGCUGCCUGGUGGUGCAGCGGUUAAGUGUGCACGUUCUGCUUUGGCAGCCUGGGCUUCGUCGGUUCGGAUCCCGGGUACAGACAUGGCACUGCUUGGCAAGCCGUCCUGUGGUAGGCGUCCCAAAUGUAAAGUGGAGGAAGAUGGGCACAGAUGUUGGCUCGGGGCCAGUCUUCCUCAGCAAACCUCAAAAAAAAAAAAAGUGCCGAAAUAGCUGAAAAUAAACAAACAAAAUCUCACAAUUCUUUUUGCCCCUUCUUAACCUGAUCCAUUUACACCACCACUGUGGCUAUAAAACCAGAUGGGAACUGCUCAGAAAAUGAUUGCCUAAUAGCCAUUUCACCACAGAAACCUAAGCAAGGUUGUGUGGCCCCCAGCAGAAGAAGCUAGGUGGGUCAGGGCUCGGGGUGUGCUGCUCCCAUGGAGGUACUUUCUAAAUUGUUUGUAAUUGGUUUUACCAUGUAAAAAUGAGAAACUUCUGUCUGGCAAAAGUCAUCAUAAAUAAAGGUAGAAGACAAUCAACAGGCUGGGAGAAAAUUUUUGCAAUAUAUGUAAUAGACAAUGGAUUAAUAUCUAUAAUUUAUAAAAGAUUCCUAUUAAUCAAUAAGAAAAAGACAACAAAUCCAAUAGAAAAUGGGCAAAGAAUACAAACAGGCAAGUCAUAGCAGGGCAAACUGGAAUUUCAUCUGACGAAGUGGUUAUCCUUGAGUACAGGGAUGUACUGGACAAGAAUGUUCAUUGCAUUAGUAAAUAUCCAUGAGUAGGGGACUGUAAAGUAGUGUGGUUGUGAAAACGCUGAAGUAGGUUCUGUAUCAGUGAGAAAAGCAAGUGCAGAGCAAUGGGAAUAGAAUGUUCCCAUUUAUGUUUUUAAAAAACAUUCCUAUUUAUUUGAUUUGGAAUGUAUUCAUUCUGUUUUAAAUUUUAUUAGAGGAUUCCUUUAGGUUAAAAAAUAUUUAAGGGUGUAUUUUUCUAGUCAUGACUUUAAUGAAUGAAAUGCCAACUUUUGUCUUCCCCUUAUGUAAGAUGAAAGGUGUAUUCCCAUCCUCACCUUCUUCCUCUUUAUUUGUUUAACCUGGUAUUGUAAAUCUUAGCCUCCAAGAAGAAUUUAGGGACCUCUCCCUAUUCCUUCUUCCGUGGGAACCAGAAGGAUUCCUAAGAGAUUCUAUGGGCUGGCCAUGGUGCCUGCUGCUCCUCUUUUUGGUGUGAUGAACAAAGGAAUUCAAAGCUCAGAAUUCUUUCCUAGGAUUUGCUCUUUUUUGGUAUUCACAGCCUUACAGAUCCUGUCUCCUGCCUCUGAAGCAUUGAGAGAGGCUGGGGCCUCCUCUCUUUGGGACACCCUGCUUGCUCCUUUCCCUUAGAAAGGGAAGGGAAUUAUCUGAGUGGCCCAGGAAGGCAUGGCUUAGAGCUAGCCUAGGUCUUGGGAGGAAACCUGCUCCUUGUGGUUGCCCUUGCAUCACCUUUGGAGAAGCCUAUUAGCUGGUUUUUAUCUUGGUCUCGGGCCCACACCAACCUAGGUGAAAGGAGUCCUUGAAGCUGACACCUUAGUUUUGCCUAUUUCACUGGAGUUUGAGGCUCUGGAGCUCCAGCCUGGAAACAACAGGAAUUCCAUCACAAGGUGGCACAGGGAUGUAAACUCUUUUGUCUUUCAAAAACAGGCAACACUUUUGGGACAGAAGCAUUGCUUUCCUUCGUCACAUUCUCAGUGUCAGUAGACCCCAGUAGGGGUAUGGGAGAAUUGUUUUGGACUUGUAACAUAGGCUUUUCUUUGAGCUGGAGAGUUUACAUAGAAUUGUAGAAACUUAUUUAAAACCAGUACUGACUGCAGCCAGUUCUGCUUCUAAAGAUGAGUGGCAUAACUCUUAUUUGUAGGGGAAAAAAUGGUUCCAUUUUCUUCUCCACUGCAGAACGGUGAUGAGAGAGUGAAAAUUCAGAAACUUCUUUUUGUUCCUCAGCACUGGUCAGGGGUGGAACCCGGAGUGGAUGGUUUGUAGUGCGGCUGACUCCAGCUAUGGGUCAUUGGAUGUCAGAGGAAGGAGGAUGGAGAGCUAAGUUGCUCUGAAUAAUAUAAGGGGAAUUUAGUUUCCUGAGGGAAGGGGAGACCCCUUCCCAAAUGUGGGAAGUGUCUGGAGAAGGUGAAGAAGACAAGCAGCAUGGUAGUAUAAAACCCCUGUCUCUUCAUAACUUCAGGAAAGCCUGAUGAAUACACAAUAUUUUGAGUGAGUUUGUAUAGGUGUAUUUGUUCUUUUGGUAAAGCAUGGAGAAAGAGAGCUGAGUCCCACAUCUGGACAGCUCAGAGCAGAGGGAAAGGACCAGCCUCAGGAGGUGAGAUGUGAGUGAGAUCAAAAGUCCAGCAGGAGCUGGAGUUAGAGCCGGAAGGGAUUACUAAGAGCAUUAGCUGCUGGAAGUUUGCAGAAAUUGGGGGAAGGUCAUUGGACUUCCCAUAGGAUUUGGGAUAGGGGGAUCCAAGAAACUUUUAAAAACAUGUCCAAGGAUAAGGUGGUUGCAGCUAACAUCUGAUUGCUGUAGUGCUGUGUAUCUCAUAGAAUGUUUAACAGUGUUCCCCGCUCCCCCCUGCCAAGAUCCUUCUUAUGGAGGUCUAUUUGUUGGAUGCCCCAGGAACUAUCCUGAUAUUCCUCUUCCUGCCCCAUGGACUCCAUUUUUUCAGUUCAGACUCCAAAAGGGAAGUAAAACUUUCCAAGAAAGGGCUUGUCAUUCCCUUCCCUUCCAAUUAGGAAUCCACAGAUCCUGAGGAUGCUGGUCAAAGAGCUAGAGAGCUGCAGCCGCCCCAGCCUCACCAGCACUGAGUAGGGCACAUCAUUUGGGAGUGAAGGGACAUGGGUAAAGUCUUCCUCAGACUCUUGGGACUUGAAGACUGCUCUGAGCAAGCAUGUAAGCAAAUAUUAAGACGAGUGAGUGCCCUAAAGCAAGAACCCAAGGUCUCCGAGCAGCGGGAGUGGGAUCAUGGCAAAUCCAGCCGGUGCCACACUGAACAAGCACUCUUGCUCAUUCCUUAGGGAAGAAGAACAGGUUGAUGGAAGAACCUGUUGUAUAGUCUUAGCCUCCAUUGUAGUUCCAAAGUUUGAGGACAGCAGAGAUGGGUGGGCUUUGCCUGCCCAGCACGCAUUCUCUCUUCUUAGGUAAGAGCCCCUUGAUUUUCCUUUGGGGCUACCUCCUUCCCCAUUCUCAGUCUGGGCUCUGAUGGGGUCAGGUCUAUCUCUGGGUUCUGGAUAGGGGACAUAUAACCAUGCCUAUCAGAGAACAGCGGUUGGCAUGGGCAUGGUGUUAAAUCCAGGCCAAUGAGGACUUCCUGACUUUUGUUGGAACUAUUAAGAAGUGAAUUCUCAUUUCUUUUCCAACUGGGUCACCAAGCCUGUAGAAUGUUUGUAACCCUGAGGUGGCUGGUGGCCAUCUUGCCGCCCCACGGGAGUGCUGAAGUCAACACAGAUGAAAGCUGAGCUGGGAGGUGGAAAGAGAUGGAGACUAGAUGACAUCUUUUCAGCACCUAGACCUAACUAUUCCUUAAGCUAGUCUAACUCUGGACAUUUCAUUUACAGAGGCCCAGGCUUUCCUUUUUUUUUUCUUAUGAAAAUUUAAUUUGGAUUUUUGUCAUCUGCAGGUAGUAGUCUUAAUUCAUGUUAUGAAUUGUAUAUAGUUCUCAUUAAAAAGUAUGGUUUGACCUUUCUCACCAGAUCCUUUUGUCUUAAAGUGUCUUGAACUGUAAGUUUGCUAUAUGAAUCAAGUGAGACCAUAUAUGUAAAGAACCUAAUUUUAUCUUCUGUACAUAGAAAAAAACAGUAAAUAUUAACUACAGGAAGCAAGGAAGAAGGGAGGGAGGGGGAGGGGAGGAAGAUGAGGUGCUGAAUUAUAAGAACCCUGAAGUCUUUAGGGUAAUCCUCUAGGAACCUUCAGACCUUAUCAAGUCCCCUUGUUCUAAAUGCCCCUAGCGCCCUAUCCUUUUCCCUUGUCACCCUUCACCAUGGUUUGUAAUGACGUUUUUAUGUAAUAUUUGAUUAAUGUCUGCCUUCCUCGCUGACCUGGCAGUUCCACCAGGGCAGUGAUUGUGCUUACUGUUAUACCCCCAGCAACAGCCCAGCGUGUGGCAUUCAGCAAACAUCUGUUGAAUGAAUUGUCAUGUAUAGUUACUCAAAUUGGACUGACCCUCCUUGAUUAUUGGGGUUAGGGUUGUGGCAGAAUUGGCAAAAUCAGGGAAAGUUGUCCUUGUCCCCUCUGCAUCUCCUAUGCUAUUCAUACCCUAAAGCACAUACAGAGAAUUUUGUCUCAAUGAGAUAGUUAAUUUCGAUUUGGUUGUGAAACCCUUUACCAAAGCUCUAUUUCUUAUAUUUUUAUUGGACCAUUUUAUUGAAGAAUUCACUAUUGUGGUGAUUGGCCUAAUAUGUGGAAAGCCUUGCAGAGGAGUGGGUCAGGUCUCUGUGAUUAACAAGCAGUCUUCCUUGCUCCUGUGUCUUUAUAAAAUUAUUUAACUGGAAUAGUCCAUGCUCACUCAGGCUCACUCAGGAAGUGUUGGAUCCUGUUAGGAACGCCUGGGAAGUCGAUGAGGGAAAGGUCCUGGAUUCUGGAGACUUCACUCCCUUGCAGGAAACAAAAGCUGUAGAAGGUGGCCCCGGGGUAACCUGAAGCUGACUCCUUCAGCCCUCACUUCUGGGCCCAGUGGGAGCUCCAGGAGUACCACCUUGUCCCCUGCGUUGCCACACAAAGUGUUCUCCUCCCAGCUGAGGCUGCGAUUCAUCCCUUCCCCCAGCCUGCUUUCCCUGAGGUGGGGAGAGUGUUUCCCAGGGCCCAUGUGACUUCCACUGGCAAGUGACGAUUACAGAUGGUUUACUAGUCAGUAAAACUGCCAAAGGCUUUUGUGCUGUAAUAAUCCUUUUCCUGUUUAAAACUCUGGGGAUUUUCUCCUGUUGCCAGUAGUUUUUCAAGUCAGCAAUUACGGUGUGGAUUAUGUAAUGGCUGGGUAUUAAAAAUAGAAAAGACCAGAGUUUGCAUCUAUUUUAACCAAAUCAAAAGAGAGCAAAGGGAGGGGAAAGGAGGAGAGGGAGAGACUAGAGGAGGAGGGAAAAAGAGAUUACGUGACAAGAAGCAGUGAGAUGGCUUCAUGUGACUGGACAAUCCAGCCCACAGUUUACUCUUCCCUUCUCCUGCCGUUCUUGGUCCAAGGGGCUGCACUGCCUUCCUCGGCCUCCUCCAGGGAGGAGACCCUGCAGAGAAUUCCGGGGACAAAAAACCCUCAUGGAUACUCCUCAGCUCAGCCUUGGGGUGUUUGCCUGCCUCUGACAAGCAAAAUGACUAAGGAGGGAGGGGACUGAAUUUGAAGUCCUCCCUCCACCCCCAAAUCCAGGACUCCUGUGUCUUGAUUUCCAAGGUCUUGGUGCUCAGUUUGUUUCUCUUGUCGCAGUGGUAGAGUCAAGGGGUAGUUUAUGGGGGAGUCUUUAGCAUCCCAAAUUUCUGUCAGUAUCUUCCCAAAGCCACCCCAAAUAAAUAGUCAGCGUAUUUGAAAACUGUGUGCUCACUAGGAAAACACUGCUUUACUAUAGUUACUCCCAACCCUUCCACUGUCUGUCCCCACUCCACUCCUCUUCUCACUGGAUUGCCACCUCUAAGCCCCUCAUGUAGGAAUUCCAGGGCUACCACUGGUUUGUUCUUGUGUGACUUCUUACUAAUCUCCACCCCCAUCCCACCCCAAGUUAAGAAAUCUUUGUGUUUUUCUAGAGACUUGUUGAAUAACUUUAAGGACCCUCUCUCUCUCUCUUUUUUUUUUGCUGAGGAAGAUUCGCCCUGAGCUAACAUCAGUUGCCAGUCCUCAUUGUUUUUUCUUUUUCAUGUGAGCCACGGCCACAGCAUGGCCACUAACAGAUGAGUGGUGUACGUCCGUGCCCAGGAUCCAAACCCAGGCAGCCAAAGCAGAGCAUGCCAAACUUAACCACGAGGCCACCGGGGCUGGCCCAAGGACCCUCUUAAUGGUGAAAUUUUCGGUACAAGCAUGGCUUGAUAAGCAGCGUGUACAUCCAUGCCCGGGAUCCGAACCAGUGAACCCCAGGCUGCUGAAGCGGAGUGCACAAACUUAACUGCUAUGCCACUGGGCCAGCCCCUCAAGGAUGUUGGUACAAAUUGCCCAAUUGUCUUCCAGAAAAGAUGUAUCAACUUAGACUCUCACCACCAGUCCUGUGAGAGUAUCUCUUUCACUACAUCCUUCCCAACACAAGGAUGAACUUUGAAGUCAUUGUGCCAAGUCCUGCUUGUUCCUUUGGACUACACAGUGGGAGCUGGAAACAUGGGUGACCCCAGUAGGGGCUUUUGUAUUCAUAAGCACCAGGCUUACGAAUACAAACACAGCAAGUCCCAGGAGCUGGUUUUGGUGGGGCUGGACUUCUCCUCCAUGCAGAAUCACAUGGCCUCUUUAGGAAGAAGCCCCUCGCCGCCAUUGACCUCCACUUGGGGCAUCCUCCUGUCUCCAGUCCAAAGACAAUCCUAUGGACCUCAGAGCUCUUGUGUCUCUGCUGCUGCAGCACCCAUCCAUAUGUGCCCCACUGUGGCCGAGCCAGCCUGUACUGGGGUGUUCCUGUCCAUCUUGCAGGGGACUCUGCCUCCAGCCAGUGCCCCCUCCAAGCCUGGUCUCCUCUAAGGAUUUCCUGUGGGUUAGCUCUGGGGAUCUUUUCUUAAUCUGUUCCUACAUGUGUUAUUACAGAAAGAAUUAUUCAUAAUUGCCAGCAUUGUGAUGGCUUCUUCCUAGUUUCUUUUGAGCCUGCAUGUUUUUCCCUACUUGACAUUUUCUAGGUUCUCUCCUACUUAAGUGACUUCUUCAGGAUCUUUUCUAUUGAGGAGUAAUGAACGAACAGUAAAGUCACAAAUCCUAAGCAUACAUUGCAGUGAAUUUUUACAUAUGUGUACACUAUGUAACCACCACCCCAAUCAAGGUGUUUCUUUUAGAGUUGAGAAGUUCUUGGUGGGAGGUUGAGUGGAGAAGGAAAUCAUGAGUGUGUCCACGAGCUGCCGUCUUUUUCUAGAACUCUCUUUAAAGGGUGUUAAGGAGGGAGCUGAACGUCAAGUCUAUACAGUGGUGUGGAGAGCAGAAUGCUUAGGAGUGGCAGGUCAUGUUCUGGUCCUCCCCCUUACUAGCUGUGGGACUUCUGUGCCUCAGUUUCAACCACUGUAAAAUGGGAGUAGAUGAUAGCUCUUACCUCACAAGGUUAUCAUGAAGAUUACACGAGGCAGUACAUGUAAGUGCACCAAAAAAUGUUAAUUGUUAUUUUUGUUGUUAUUAAUAACGAGGAGGAGGCAGUGGUUCUUAAUGAAGGAUAUGCAUCAGAAUCACCUGGGGCACUUUCGCAAAAUACACAUUCUCAACCUGGCCAGAUCUACUGAGUCAGAAUCUAGAUUUUAAAUGCCUCCCCAGGUUCAUUCUGUUGCUCAUCCGUGGUUGAGAACCACUGGGCUGGAGGUGGUCAUGACUGGAAGCAGGAAGGCCAACAGGUAACCCCUGCGAUAGUGAGAGCCGGAGAGGAUCAGAGCUGAGCAGAUUUGAGGCAGAGUGGAGAGGUGGCCAAGAUGUGGCGACCUUG
ensembl:lncRNA